GAUGAACGCUGGCGGCGUGCCUAAUACAUGCAAGUCGAGCGAACAGACGAGGAGCUUGCUCCUCUGACGUUAGCGGCGGACGGGUGAGUAACACGUGGAUAACCUACCUAUAAGACUGGGAUAACUUCGGGAAACCGGAGCUAAUACCGGAUAAUAUAUUGAACCGCAUGGUUCAAUAGUGAAAGACGGUUUUGCUGUCACUUAUAGCUGGAUCCGCGCCGCAUUAGCUAGUUGGUAAGGUAACGGCUUACCAAGGCAACGAUGCGUAGCCGACCAGAUAGGGUGAUCGGCCACACUGGAACUGAGACACGGUCCAGACUCCUACGGGAGGCAGCAGUAGGGAAUCUUCCGCAAUGGGCGAAAGCCUGACGGAGCAACGCCGCGUGAGUGAUGAAGGUCUUCGGAUCGUAAAACUCUGUUAUUAGGGAAGAACAAAUGUGUAAAUAACUAUGCACGUCUUGACGGUACCUAAUCAGAAAGCCACGGCUAACUACGUA
rnacentral:rRNA from 1 species